GAAACCGUGUGCUUACAAGUAGUCAGAGCCCGUUAAUGGGUGAUGGCGUGCCUUUUGUAGAAUGAACCGGCGAGUUACGAUUUGAUGCAAGGUUAAGCAGUAAAUGUGGAGCCGUAGCGAAAGCGAGUCUGAAUAGGGCGUUUAGUAUUUGGUCGUAGACCCGAAACCAGGUGAUCUACCCUUGGUCAGGUUGAAGUUCAGGUAACACUGAAUGGAGGACCGAACCGACUUACGUUGAAAAGUGAGCGGAUGAACUGAGGGUAGCGGAGAAAUUCCAAUCGAACCUGGAGAUAGCUGGUUCUCUCCGAAAUAGCUUUAGGGCUAGCCUCAAGUGAUGAUUAUUGGAGGUAGAGCACUGUUUGGACGAGGGGCCCCUCUCGGGUUACCGAAUUCAGACAAACUCCGAAUGCCAAUUAAUUUAACUUGGGAGUCAGAACAUGGGUGAUAAGGUCCGUGUUCGAAAGGGAAACAGCCCAGACCACCAGCUAAGGUCCCAAAAUAUAUGUUAAGUGGAAAAGGAUGUGGCGUUGCCCAGACAACUAGGAUGUUGGCUUAGAAGCAGCCAUCAUUUAAAGAGUGCGUAAUAGCUCACUAGUCGAGUGACACUGCGCCGAAAAUGUACCGGGGCUAAACAUAUUACCGAAGCUGUGGAUUGUCCUUUGGACAAUGGUAGGAGAGCGUUCUAAGGGCGUUGAAGCAUGAUCGUAAGGACAUGUGGAGCGCUUAGAAGUGAGAAUGCCGGUGUGAGUAGCGAAAGACGGGUGAGAAUCCCGUCCACCGAUUGACUAAGGUUUCCAGAGGAAGGCUCGUCCGCUCUGGGUUAGUCGGGUCCUAAGCUGAGGCCGACAGGCGUAGGCGAUGGAUAACAGGUUGAUAUUCCUGUACCACCUAUAAUCGUUUUAAUCGAUGGGGGGACGCAGUAGGAUAGGCGAAGCGUGCGAUUGGAUUGCACGUCUAAGCAGUAAGGCUGAGUAUUAGGCAAAUCCGGUACUCGUUAAGGCUGA
rnacentral:rRNA from 1 species